rnacentral:rRNA from 1 species
GACAGUCGAGCGGCAGCACAGAGGAGCUUGCUCCUUGGGUGGCGAGUGGCGGACGGGUGAGGAAUACAUCGGAAUCUACUUUUUCGUGGGGGAUAACGUAGGGAAACUUACGCUAAUACCGCAUACGACCUACGGGUGAAAGCAGGGGACCUUCGGGCCUUGCGCGAUUGAAUGAGCCGAUGUCGGAUUAGCUAGUUGGCGGGGUAAAGGCCCACCAAGGCGACGAUCCGUAGCUGGUCUGAGAGGAUGAUCAGCCACACUGGAACUGAGACACGGUCCAGACUCCUACGGGAGGCAGCAGUGGGGAAUAUUGGACAAUGGGCGCAAGCCUGAUCCAGCCAUACCGCGUGGGUGAAGAAGGCCUUCGGGUUGUAAAGCCCUUUUGUUGGGAAAGAAAUCCAGCUGGCUAAUACCCGGUUGGGAUGACGGUACCCAAAGAAUAAGCACCGGCUAACUUCGUGCCACCAGCCGCGGUAAUACGAAGGGUGCAAGCGUUACUCGGAAUUACUGGGCGUAAAGCGUGCGUAGGUGGUCGUUUAAGUCCGUUGUGAAAGCCCUGGGCUCAACCUGGGAACUGCAGUGGAUACUGGGCGACUAUAGUGUGGUAGAGGGUAGCGGAAUUCCUGGUGUAGCAGUGAAAUGCGUACAGAUCAAGAGGAACAUCCAUGGCGAAGGCAGCUACCUGGACCAACACUGACACUGAGGCACGAAAGCGUGGGGAGCAAACAAGAUUAGAUACCCUGGUAGUCCACGCCCUAAACCAUGCAAACUGGAUGUUGGGUGCAAUUUGGCACGCAUAUCAAACUAACGCGUUAAUUCGCCGCGCGGGGGAGUACGGUCGCAAGACUGAAACUCAAGGAAUUGACGGGGGCCCGCACAAGCGGUGGGAGUAUGUGGGUUUAAUUCGAUGCAACGCGAA